UUUUUUUAAUAUCUGAGGAAGUUAGCACAUUUUUUUUAUUUCUCUUCAUCUUCCUCAUUUCUUUUUCUUUGUAGAAUAUAGAUGUCUGGAAGAAAACAGACCAAGGUGGUCUGUUGCCCUCUGACUGCAGAAAGGCUUACAGGGCUGAAGGGAAAGCUGUGACCUUGUACUACUCGCAUGGCAGGUAUCAGUUUCAAAGAAACUUUCAUCAGAAGAGGUUUGUCAGCCAUCGGAUGGAAUUUCUGGUCGAGACCAGGAGGAGAUGGCAAAGUUGGAGUAUCAGGGUCCUGGCCAGGAGUUGAAAAUAAGGAAAAGAGAGGCAGAAAAACCACAAAGAAAGAGGCAUAUGAAAAGUGAAAAAAAUACAGAGCUGGAGGUGAACCUAAACACUCAGAGGUUGUCUUCUAACUGGAAAAUGAAGAGUCAAAAAGUCCUGAGGCCUUUCUGCCCUUCUCACUGA
rnacentral:lncRNA from 1 species